rnacentral:rRNA from 1 species
UACGUAGGGUGCGAGCGUUGUCCGGAAUUAUUGGGCGUAAAGAGCUCGUAGGCGGUGUGUCACGUCGUUCGUGAAAACCUGCAGCUUAACUGUGGGCGUGCGGUCGAUACGGGCAUCACUGGAGUUCGGCAGGGGAGACUGGAAUUCCUGGUGUAGCGGUGAAAUGCGCAGAUAUCAGGAGGAACACCGAUGGCGAAGGCAGGUCUCUGGGCAUUAACUGACGCUGGAGGAGCGAAAGCAUGGGGAGCGAACAGG